rnacentral:piRNA from 1 species
UGGGAAGGAUGAUGGUUCAUAUGGGCAGA